rnacentral:misc_RNA from 1 species
GAGGAAGCUUGCUGACAAAGUUGCAGCUGAGGGUUACUAUGUGGUGGUUCCUGAUUUUUUUAAUGGGGAUCCUUACAAUUCUGAAAAUAAGGAGCGGACUAUACAAGUCUGGUUAGAAUCACAUGGAACAGAUAAAGGAUUUGAAGAUGCAAAGCAGGUUAUUGCAGCUUUAAAAGAUAAAGGCAUAUCUGCAAUUGGAGCAGCAGGUUUUUGCUGGGGUGGAAAGGUGGUUGUACAAUUAGCUACAUCUGCGAACAUUCAAGCUGCAGUGCUAUUGCACCCAUCAUUUGUCUCUGUGGAUGAUUUUACGGAGGUGAAGGCACCAAUAGCUAUUUUAGGAGCUGAGUUAGAUCGUCCAACUCCUCCUGAGCUUAUUAUGCAGUUUAAGGAGAUUUUAUCAUCAAAACCUGAGGUGGACAGUUUUGUGAGAAUGUAUCCUGGUGUUGCCCAUGGGUGGACUGUGCGAUACAACGUGGAGGACAAGAAGGCUGUGCAGAGUGCUGAAGAAGCUCAUCAGGAUAUGCUGAACUGGUUUGCUAAGCAUGUCAAGUGAUUGGAAAGAACAGUAGCAGUUGGAAAGUUCCCAGUUAAAAAAGUUUAAAAGUUGGUCAUGAUAAACCCUGUAUUGUAUUUAUCUUUUAUUUAAAAGAAGAUUUAUCUUGCUAUGGUUAUGUUAAAUGUAGUGUGUGUUUAAAUAUUGCUAUUGUAUGAACUCUGAUAUUGGACUUCCGCUUUUAAAUAAAAUGUAUUUU